AUGUUUGUAACCAAUUGCAUACAAGUCAUCCUCAUUACCAAGGACACAAAGCAUUAAGAUUAAAUUUGAUACCAGAUACGUUAGAUGUAUAAUCUCAAGGCAAUUUCUACCCAAGGAGGGGUAAAAAAAGUCUUGUAAGUGAUAUAUGGCUAUUUAAUUCUGGAGUUAGGUAUGACUCAACUUUACCAAGCUUUUUGUGCCAAAUAAUGGAUUAGUUAUAUAAACAGAGAAGUGAAAUCCAAAUAGCAUGUCUCUGUUUUUUCAUCUUGAGAUGACAACAAAACAAGUGGAUUGAGUCAGAUCUAUAAAUAGAUCAAGCUUUUUUUUAUCUACUGCAAGGUAGAUAGGUAAAUUUCUCUAUGAUUCAAUGAAUACACUGUAAACACCUACAAUAUACACCUGUGAUUUGUGCCUACAUUGUGUCAUAUAAGCAAGCAAUACUUGUAUAUAUAUUUGAUCUACAAAAUACUUAUGUACUCAAAAAUACAACAUUUUCAAUUUUAACACAAAAAGCAUGUGAACUACAAAUUGACAUGUUUUUUUAUUAUUAUUAUUAAAUGGUGAUUUGUUGAUAUCUUAAUGAAAAUACAUAUUUGGAGACCUCCCAACACUGGACAUUGAGAAGAUAUUCCUAUUUCUAGUCAUUUCUUUGUUGUUACUUGUACAGAAAUACUGUCAUAUUAAA
rnacentral:misc_RNA from 1 species